rnacentral:rRNA from 1 species
AUCUGCCCUUAGGAGGAGGAUAACAGCUGGAAACGGUUGCUAAUACUCCAUAUGCUGAAAAGUAAAAGGAUUUAUCUGCCUAAGGAGGAGCUCGCGUCUGAUUAGCUAGUUGGUAAGGUAAAGGCUUACCAAGGCGACGAUCAGUAGCUGGUUUGAGAGGACGAUCAGCCACACUGGGACUGAGACACGGCCCAGACUCCUACGGGAGGCAGCAGUGGGGAAUUUUCCGCAAUGGGCGAAAGCCUGACGGAGCAAUACCGCGUGAGGGAUGACAGCCUGUGGGUUGUAAACCUCUUUUCUCAAGGAAGAAGUUCUGACGGUACUUGAGGAAUAAGCAUCGGCUAACUCUGUGCCAGCAGCCGCGGUAAUACAGAGGAUGCAAGCGUUAUCCGGAAUCACUGGGCAUAAAGCGUCUGUAGGUUGUUUAGUAAGUCUGCUGUUAAAGACUAGGGCUCAACCCUAGGCCAGCAGUGGAAACUGCUAGACUUGAGUGUAGUAGAGGUAGAGGGAAUUCCUAGUGUAGCGGUGAAAUGCGUAGAUAUUAGGAAGAACACCAAUGGCGAAAGCACUCUACUGGGCCACAACUGACACUCAGAGACGACAGCUAGGGGAGCAAAUGG